AUUGAACGCUGGCGGCAUGCCUUACACAUGCAAGUCGAACGGCAGCAUAGGAGCUUGCUCCUGAUGGCGAGUGGCGAACGGGUGAGUAAUAUAUCGGAACGUGCCCUAGAGUGGGGGAUAACUAGUCGAAAGACUAGCUAAUACCGCAUACGAUCUACGGAUGAAAGUGGGGGAUCGCAAGACCUCAUGCUCCUGGAGCGGCCGAUAUCUGAUUAGCUAGUUGGUGGGGUAAAAGCUCACCAAGGCGACGAUCAGUAGCUGGUCUGAGAGGACGACCAGCCACACUGGGACUGAGACACGGCCCAGACUCCUACGGGAGGCAGCAGUGGGGAAUUUUGGACAAUGGGGGCAACCCUGAUCCAGCAAUGCCGCGUGAGUGAAGAAGGCCUUCGGGUUGUAAAGCUCUUUUGUCAGGGAAGAAACGGUUCUGGAUAAUACCUGGGACUAAUGACGGUACCUGAAGAAUAAGCACCGGCUAACUACGUGCCAGCCGCCGCGGUAACAC
rnacentral:rRNA from 1 species